rnacentral:rRNA from 1 species
AACGAGAAGAACCUUACCAAAUCUUGACAUCCUUUGACAACUCUAGAGAUAGAGAAUUCCCAUUCAGGGGACAAAGUGACAGGUGGUGCAUGGUUGUCGUCAGCUCGUGUCGUGAGAUGUUGGGUUAAGUCCCGCAACGAGCGCAACCCUUAAGCUUAGUUGCCAUCAUUAAGUUGGGCACUCUAAGUUGACUGCCGGUGACAAACCGGAGGAAGGUGGGGAUGACGUCAAAUCAUCAUGCCCCUUAUGAUUUGGGCUACACACGUGCUACAAUGGACAAUACAAAGGGCAGCGAAACCGCGAGG